rnacentral:tRNA from 1 species
GCGUUGAUCUAUAGGCGAUAGAUCAAGCUUCCCAAGCUGAAUACGAGGGUUCGAUUCCCUUCACCCGCUCCA